AGAAUCAACGCUGGCGGCGUGCCUAACACAUGCAAGUCGAACGAGAAAGUGGGAGCAAUCCCACGAGUAAAGUGGCGCACGGGUGAGUAACACGUGGCUAACCUACCCUUGAGUGGGGGAUAACCUAGGGAAACCUGGGCUAAUACCGCAUAAUACCUACGGGUCAAAGGAGCAAUUCGCUUAAGGAGGGGGUCGCGGCAGAUUAGUUAGUUGGCGGGGUAAUGGCCCACCAAGACAGUGAUCUGUA
rnacentral:rRNA from 1 species